GACGUAGGGUGCAAGCGUUGUCCGGAUUUACUGGGCGUAAAGCGCGCGUAGGCGGCUCGUUAAGUGUGAAGUGAAAUCCCUGGGCUCAACUCAGGAACUGCUUUACAUACUGGCGAGCUUGAGGGAUGCAGAGGUCUGUGGAAUUCCUGGUGUAACGGUGAAAUGUGUUGAUAUCAGGAGGAACACCCAUGGCGAAGGCAGCAGACUGGGCAUCGCCUGACGCUGAGGUGCGAAAGCGUGGGUAGCAAACAGG
rnacentral:rRNA from 1 species